rnacentral:rRNA from 1 species
AACGAACGCUGGCGGCAUGCCUAACACAUUCAAGUCGAACGAAGGCUUCGGCCUUAGUGGCGCACGGGUGCGUAACGCGGGGGAAUCUGCCCUCUGGUUCGGAAUCACAGCUGGAAACGGCUGCUAAUACCGGAUGAUGACGAAAGUCCCAAGACUUAUCGCCAGAGGAUGCGCCCGCGUUGGAUUAGGUAGUUGGUGGGGUAAAGGCCUACCAAGCCGACGAUCCAUAGCUGGUCUGAGAGGAUGAUCAGCCACACUGGGACUGAGACACGGCCCAGACUCCUACUGGAGGCAGCAGUGGGGAAUAUUGGACAAUGGGCGAAAGCCUGAUCCAGCAAUGCCGCGUGAGUGAUGAAGGCCCUAGGGUUGUAAAGCUCUUUUACCCGGGAAGAUAAUGACUGUACCGGGAGAAUAAGCCCCGGCUAACUCCGUGCCAGCCGCCGCGGUAAAAC